GCCAUACCAAGAUAUAAAAGAUAUUGUGAACAUGGGGUUUCGAAUUUUUGUAUCUCAAAAGAAGAAAGGAUCUAAAAAAGAGCUCAAGUGGAUGGUUGUUGAGGGGCCCAAACAGUUGGAUGGUGUCAUGUGCGGAUAUUUUGUCAUGCGAUACAUGCGAGACAUAAUUGCAAAUAGAAGUCUCUUAACAUCUCAG